UCCAUUUGCAAAUGGAAUAAAUAUAUAUGCCUGCGUAACUAGCCUGAUUCACCUCUACAUUUCCCUAAAUUUCUGUUUAAUCCUCUAUCUAAACAAAAAAUUGGGCGUGUAUUUUUUGUAUCACAUGAGAAAACUCAAGAAUUCCCUGAUGGCAACUUCUACAGUCCCUUGUUUGGUCAAAAGCUGCCGAAUGCAGGCACCCGUGCCAACCAAUCUUUCUAGGAAAAAUGGGUGUCAAAUAAUUCACAACACCAGCCAGGCGUCAAUUCUUAUGGCCCCUAUCUUUGCGAUGUAGCCCCGAGAUUUGAUUUUAUUCUCUUGUCAAAUUUCAGGCUGCUCAAUAGCUCAUGAGACUUGUUACAAACACAACCAGGAAAAGGAUUUGCAUAGAAGUUCUCUUCCAGCCUCGGUGACUCUCCCGCUUGCCUAAGAUAAGGAGAUCCAAUCCUGUUUGAAUGUAAACUCUUUACCUUUGCAGAGAAUUCUUCCCAAGAUAUUGAACCCUCAUCCAACUGAUCAAUCAGCGUAACAAAAUUUUGUCUGUCUGG
rnacentral:misc_RNA from 1 species